CCUACGGGAGGCAGCAGUGAGGAAUAUUGGUCAAUGGCCGAGAGGCUGAACCAGCCAAGUCGCGUGAGGGAAGAAUGUCCUAUGGAUUGUAAACCUCUUUUGUCAGGGAGCAAAGUCACCCACGUGUGGGUGUUGGAGAGUACCUGAAGAAAAAGCAUCGGCUAACUCCGUGCCAGCAGCCGCGGUAAUACGGAGGGGGCAAGCGUUAUCCGGAUUUACUGGGUGUAAAGGGAGCGUAGGCGGUUUAGCAAGUCAGAAGUGAAAGCCCGGGGCUCAACUCCGGGACUGCUUUUGAAACGGUUGAACUAGAUUGCAGGAGAGGUAAGUGGAAUUCCUAGUGUAGCGGUGAAAUGCGUAGAUAUUAGGAGGAACACCAGUGGCGAAGGCGGCUUACUGGACUGUAAAUGAUGCUGAGGCUCGAAAGCGUGGGGAGCAAACAGGAUUAGAUACCCGGGUAGUC
rnacentral:rRNA from 1 species